rnacentral:rRNA from 1 species
AUUGAACGCUGGCGGCAGGCCUAACACAUGCAAGUCGAACGAGUGGCGGACGGGUGAGUAAUGUCUGGGAAACUGCCUGAUGGAGGGGGAUAACUACUGGAAACGGUAGCUAAUACCGCAUACCAUCGGAUGUGCCCAGAUGGGAUUAGCUAGUGGGUGGGGUAAAGGCUCACCUAGGCGACGAUCCCUAGCUGGUCUGAGAGGAUGACCAGUCCCCCUGGACCUGAUACGCGGUCCGGACUCCUACGGGAGGGAGCAGUGGGGAAUAUUGCACAAGGGGCGCAAGCCAAAUGCGGCCAUGCCGCGUGGAUGAAGAGGGCCUUCGGGUUGUAAAGUACUUUCAGCGGGGAGGCGUUACCCGCAGAAGAAGCACCGGCUAACUCCGUGCCAGCAGCCGCGGUAAUAC